rnacentral:piRNA from 1 species
UAAAAAAGAAAGGUGCUGGCCGAUCCAUC